UCUAGGAGAAGCCUCCUAGCCUAAUUUGGGAACUAUGCACACUCCCAAUUUUUCAUUGUGUGUUAGUAAAAAACAAGGAUGUCCCUUGCCUGUGGGUUUUCCAGAGGCAUCUGGUGGGCCACUGUGAAACAGAAUGCUAGACCUGAUAGGCCUUGGGCCUGAUGAUCCAGCAGGGCUGUUCUUAUGUUCUAAGGUGUUUGAUCCAAGUGUGAGCUAAGCCCCAGCUGGGUAGGACAAGCACGCCCUACCCAGAUUCCUUCCCCAGUUUCAGAACACAGUCAGAAGGGAAAUGGCCCUACCCACCUGGGCUUGGCUCAUGAUCAGCCUCCCAGCCUCCAACCUUGUUUUUCACUGACAUGAGAUUCAAAAUAGGGAGUGUGCACACAGCUCUCAAAUUAGGGGAGGAGACUUUUCCUACCCUAAUGUCGAGCAUGUGACCUGGCCUUGGGUCUCACAAUGGUUCAGAUAGUUCUGUCAGGAAGGUGGCUACAUCAAUAGAAAAUCCACCUGCAAAAGGGAGGGUUCCCCUCUGCUGAUUCAGGUGCAUCCCAGAGGAAGCACAAGUUUGGGGAGGAUACGUUAGGGGCAGAGGCCACAAUGAGAUUUAACCAGGCACCUGGGGAUGCAAUCCAGUUCAGAAAUUUGAACUGGGUAUGAUUGAGGACUGAGAACAAAAAAAGUCCUUUUGUCCUGGCCAUCUGAAUAGCCACCUCAUCUACACCCGCUAGUCACCUGAGCAAAGUAGUUGAAAUUAAGAAUGUUGCUGCUUUGUGAGGGUUGAACCUAGAGAAACCCUAUAGAAAGUGCUGUCUCCGCACAAUCAGUUGUUUGAUCAUUUUGUUUCAUGCGGGUAGGGGGGGAUUUCAUGAGAUAAAGCAAGGCCUGCUACCAGUGUGAAGUUUAGUGGGCUAUAGGCCACCUCCAGCCUCAGAGGCAAGAUGCCUCUAAAUACCAGUUGCAGGGGAGCAACUGCAGGAGAGAGGGUAUGCCCUCACCUCCUGCCUGUGGGCUUCUCUAACCCUAAGCAGCUUCCUGCCAGGACUCUCUAAGGACAGCCCUGAGUGCUGUGUCUGCACACACACACCCCCGACUUGCCCUCCAUGGCAUGGGGACGACCUAACGACCACCUAACAAUGGAUCCCAGCUUUCCCCCCUCCUCAUGGGCAGGAAUCACUCCUUGGCAUUGAACAUGAGACAGCAGAUCAAGGAAAGGAGACUGAGCACUGACCUGGCGUCUCAUUUGCACUGAUGUACCGUGCCUGCCACCAGCCCCAAAAUGAAUUGCUGACUGACAUGAGCCAAUUUAGGAGACAACUUUCAUCAGGGCAGCAAGAUUAAAAUAUAAUAAAUAAAUGUUGCUAUAAACGGCAA